UUUCCCUGUAAGGGCCGCGGCAUUUGUAGCGUCAUGGGUAACGAUGCUUCGGGGGUGGCUGUUGUCUAUGUGUGCAGAGGGUCCCUGGUUCGAGCCCAGAUAGGGGCGAGGAGAGGGACGGAAGCUGUGCUGUUCUCGGCGGCGCAAUCACCUCAAACGCAUUCCGUCGUGUUUGGCCUACUACUACUAUCGGUAAAAUGUACGUUUUGAAUCGCAAAUCACCAUCGACCCUUCGAUUUCAUCAAUAAUUUUGACUUCAUUUGGCCAGUCAUUUGGUUGUUGUUUCGUCUUAAUCGGUUGUAAUAUAUCUGAAAAUGAAUUUAUCCGACUAUUUGUUUAUACCCCCGGACAGGGCCAAACAGGCAGGAUGCAUCCGUUAUAAAUAAAAAUAAAUAAAUAAAGACCCGAAUGUACUGGGGCCUGUUGCACAAAAGUAGAAUUAAGACAUCCGGGAUAAAUGACUCAGCUGAGCUCAAUGAAGCCAAAACAUGUGCGUCCAGGCUUAAUUGGUUGCACAAAGACCAAGCCAGGAUGAGCAGACACGGAUUCAUUAAGCCAGGUGAAACCAAUCCUGGAUAGGUGCGCGCUCACGGCUCACUCAAAUAGACCCCGCCACAGAUCACAGAUUAACUGAUUUACCAUGGCAACUAGAGCCGCGUACUUUUCCCCGUCGGAAGCACAAAUCCUCAUGGAGGCAUACGAGGAGGUAAAAUAUAUAAUUAAGAAGAAAGGCAACACCGCCACAGUGAUAAAGCAAAGAGAAAAAGCGUGGCAAAGUAUUGCAGACCGCCUGAAUGCAUUAAACAUGAACGGGCCAAAACGGACAUGGCAGCAGGUCAAAAUCAAAUACAAGAACAUUCUGCAGAAUGCAGUGAAAAAGAAUACCCACAGACAAGGCACGGGUGGUGGGUCACCAAAGGCUGACCUUACCCCAGCAGAGGACAUGGCCUUGGAGCUAAAUAAAGGCAGGCCCGUCUUAGAGGGG
rnacentral:lncRNA from 1 species